rnacentral:rRNA from 1 species
AUGGAGAGGUGCAGCACAACUGCAGAUGAACCAGGGCGGUUAGACGGCACAGAGCAAGUGAUCCCACUCCACAGGCACGGGUUCGGGUCGGUUGUGUCCCAGUGGCUCCACGGAGCCAUGGUGGAGACCAUGCUUGAAAGGUUUCUCAUGGUGCUUUCCUGCACUUUGUUUAGCCGCAGUGGUUGCACGCGGGCCAUGGACAAAUCAAACAGCAAGCAAAUCAGCAGCGCUAGCAAUAACCCAUGGUGUGGUGAUGGUGGUGUUGCAAAGGGCUUGAUCGACCCACUGACCACUGUCGUAUGUGCAAGAAGAUGGGUAGAAGAAGCAAUGGUAGAGAAAGCAGCAAUGGUCAGAUUAGUGGCGCAAGACCCCAACUGCGGCGUACACGAAGGGGGUCAAACUUUGACUCAAAGUGAUGUGGAGCCUCACAGCAUCAGCUGGUUGCGACAUCAACAAAAGGCGAUGUACCUCCGUUGGUGGCAUGUAACAUUUGCUGCCAUCUCAAUCAGAAUCAUGCCUCUGGACAGUUUGUUACAAGGCUCCUAUCCCCUUUGGAAACUGCAUGCCUCAACUGAAAAUAAGAACUAUCAUUUCUCUCAACCACUCUCAUGA